GAUGAACGCUAGCUACAGGCUUAACACAUGCAAGUCGCGGGGCAGCAUGGGGGUUGCUUGCAACCCCUGAUGGCGACCGGCGCACGGGUGAGUAACGCGUAUCCAACCUGCCCUUCACCACGGGAUAACCCGGCGAAAGUCGGACUAAUACCGUAUGUUGUCCAUUGACGGCAUCCGAUUUGGACGAAAGGCUUGGCGGUGAGAGGAUGGGGAUGCGUCCGAUUAGCUUGACGGCGGGGUAACGGCCCACCGUGGCUACGAUCGGUAGGGGUUCUGAGAGGAAGGUCCCCCACACUGGAACUGAGACACGGGCCAGACUCCUACGGGAGGCAGAAGUGAGGAAUAUUGGUCAAUGGGCGUAAGCCUGAACCAGCCAAGUAGCGUGCAGGAUGACGGCCCUAUGGGUUGUAAACUGCUUUUAUGCGGGGAUAAAGUGGCCCACGUGUGGGCUUUUGCAGGUACCGCAUGAAUAAGGACCGGCUAAUUCCGUG
rnacentral:rRNA from 1 species